CAAUAUGUAAACAUGUAGUGUCCUCAGGAUGGAUCUAACCUGAGCUCUUUGUCCCGCAGCCGUGGCUCACUGCCCGCCGGCGGGCAGUGAGUCAGUGGGUUCCCAAGGCCAAGGAGAGGCCCAGCCCUGGCCCCCCAGGAUGGCAGCCCCACCCAGGGGAGUGUGAGGCCCUUCUAGGCUGACCUCAAAGACACCGCUCUCCCCAGAAUCCAGAGGGACACCUGGAGGGAUAAACAGGUCAGCCUUGGGACCAGAGGCCCUUUCCUUGUGUCAGCCCUGUAACUUUUACUGGCCCAGUGGGACUUAACGUAGCCUUCUGGAGGAAAGAGCAUCUUCACGUGGAUUUAUCCUGGCCCGGAGGCAGAUGCAGUGACCUCGGCUCCCGUGUUGCCAGGAUCUGA
rnacentral:lncRNA from 1 species